rnacentral:rRNA from 1 species
CCCUUAGAUGUUCUGGGCCGCACGCGCGCUACACUGUUCGACGCAGCGAGUCUUAACCUUGACCGAAAGGUUUGGGUAAUCUUCAGCAAAGUCGAACGUGAUGGGGAUCGAUCAUUGCAAUUAUUGAUCGUGAACGAGGAAUUCCUAGUAAGUGCAAGUCAUCAGCUUGCGCCGAUUACGUCCCUGCCCUUUGUACACACCGCCCGUCGCUACUACCGAUUGAAUGGUUUAGUGAGGUCUCUGGAUUGACGCUGGCUAGGGGGCGACCCUUGGCCAGGCUGUCGAGAAACUGCUCAAACUUGAUCAUUUAGAGGAAGUAAAAGUCGUAACA